AAUCAACGCUGGCGGCGUGCCUCAGACAUGCAAGUCGAACGCGAAAGUUCCCUUCGGGGAGCAAGUAGAGUGGCGCACGGGUGAGUAACACGUAGGUAAUUUGCCUUCGGGUGGGGAAUAACAGUCGGAAACGACUGCUAAUACCGCAUAAUGCAGCGGCUCGACAUCGAGACAGUUGUUAAAGCGGGGGAUCCUUCGGGACCUCGCGCCUGAAGAGAAGCCUGCGGCAGAUUAGCUAGUUGGUGAGGUAAUGGCCCACCAAGGCUACGAUCUGUAACCGGCCUGAGAGGGCGGUCGGUCACACUGACACUGACAUACGGGUCAGACUCCUACGGGAGGCAGCAGUCGGGAAUUUUGGGCAA
rnacentral:rRNA from 1 species